rnacentral:tRNA from 1 species
GCUUAAAUAGUUUAACAAAAACUUUAAUUUGUGGAUUUAAUAAUGUGUAUAUUCACUUUAAGCU